AACGCAUAUUGCGCUCGAGGCUUCGGCCAAGAGCAUGUCUGCCUCAGCGUCGGGUUAAUAUCAUCCCACUACUCACAUAGAGUGUGUGAUGGACCUGGCCGUUCCAGAACUCAUAGCUUUGCCUAUAGAUCUGGAUUGGCUGAAGAGCAGAGACGACUCAGGACCCGUUAAGGGCCGCUAUUGGGUAGGCGUUGCUCGCAAGAGCUCUGUCAAAUACUUAAUAGCUGGCUUGGGAUUUGAGUGUGUCCAACUCAGGAAUAACCCUUACUUAUCUAUUACCUCGACCUGAGCUCAGGCAAGACCACCCGCUGAACUUAA
rnacentral:misc_RNA from 1 species